rnacentral:rRNA from 1 species
UGAAACACGGACCAAGGAGUCUAGCGUGUACGCGAGUCAUUGGGUGGUAAACCCAUAGGCGAAAUGAAAGUGAAGGUCUCGCAAGAGGCUUAUAUGCGAUCCACUGGCCCACGGGUUGGCGGAGCAGCAUAGCCCCGUCCUAAUGGCUUGCCAUAGGGCGGCGGAAGAGCGUAUGCGCUGGUACCCGAAAGAUGGUGAACUAUGCCUGAGCAGGAUGAAGCCAGGGGAAACCCUGGUGGAGGUCCGAAGCGCUUCUGACGUGCAAAUCGAUCGUCUGACUUGGGUAUAGGGGCGAAAGACUAAUCGAACCAUCUAGUAGCUGGUUCCCUCCGAAGUUUCCCCCAGGAUAGCUGGAGCCUGGACAGUUAUACUCGGUAAAGCGAACGAUUAGAGGACUUGGGGUCAAAAGACCUUAACCUAUUCUCAAACUCUCAAUGGGUAUGAAGUGUGGGUUGCUUAAUUGAACUCGCACGUUGAAUGUGGGCUCCAAGUGGGCCAUUUUUGGUAAGCA